rnacentral:rRNA from 1 species
GACGAACGCUUGCGGCGUGCUUAACACAUGCAAGUCGAACGGAAAGGCCCUGCUUUUGUGGGGUGCUCGAGUGGCGAACGGGUGAGUAACACGUGAGUAACCUGCCCUUGACUUUGGGAUAACUUCAGGAAACUGGGGCUAAUACCGGAUAGGAGCUCCUGCUGCAUGGUGGGGGUUGGAAAGUUUCGGCGGUUGGGGAUGGACUCGCGGCUUAUCAGCUUGUUGGUGGGGUAGUGGCUUACCAAGGCUUUGACGGGUAGCCGGCCUGAGAGGGUGACCGGCCACAUUGGGACUGAGAUACGGCCCAGACUCCUACGGGAGGCAGCAGUGGGGAAUAUUGCACAAUGGGCGGAAGCCUGAUGCAGCAACGCCGCGUGCGGGAUGACGGCCUUCGGGUUGUAAACCGCUUUCGCCUGUGACGAAGCGUGAGUGACGGUAAUGGGUAAAGAAGCACCGGCUAACUACGUGCCAGCAGCCGCGGUGAUACGUAGGGUGCGAGCGUUGUCCGGAUUUAUUGGGCGUAAAGGGCUCGUAGGUGGUUGAUCGCGUCGGAAGUGUAAUCUUGGGGCUUAACCCUGAGCGUGCUUUCGAUACGGGUUGACUUGAGGAAGGUAGGGGAGAAUGGAAUUCCUGGUGGAGCGGUGGAAUGCGCAGAUAUCAGGAGGAACACCAGUGGCGAAGGCGGUUCUCUGGGCCUUUCCUGACGCUGAGGAGCGAAAGCGUGGGGAGCGAACAGGCUUAGAUACCCUGGUAGUCCACGCUGUAAACGGUGGGUACUAGGUGUGGGGUCCAUUCCACGGGUUCCGUGCCGUAGCUAACGCUUUAAGUACCCCGCCUGGGGAGUACGGCCGCAAGGCUAAAACUCAAAGGAAUUGACGGGGCCCCGCACAAGCGGCGGAGCAUGCGGAUUAAUUCGAUGCAACGCGUAGAACCUUACCUGGGUUUGACAUGGAUCGGGAGCGCUCAGAGAUGGGUGUGCCUCUUUUGGGGUCGGUUCACAGGUGGUGCAUGGCUGUCGUCAGCUCGUGUCGUGAGAUGUUGGGUUAAGUCCCGCAACGAGCGCAACCCUUGUUCACUGUUGCCAGCACGUUAUGGUGGGGACUCAGUGGAGACCGCCGGGGUCAACUCGGGGGAAGGUGGGGAUGACGUCAAGUCAUCAUGCCCCUUAUGUCCAGGGCUUCACGCAUGCUACAAUGGCUGGUACAGAGAGUGGCGAGCCUGUGAGGGUGAGCGAAUCUCGGAAAGCCGGUCUCAGUUCGGAUUGGGGUCUGCAACUCGACCUCAUGAAGUCGGAGUCGCUAGUAAUCGCAGAUCAGCAACGCUGCGGUGAAUACGUUCCCGGG